rnacentral:rRNA from 1 species
GACGUAGGGGGCAAGCGUUGUCCGGAAUCAUUGGGCGUAAAGCGCUCGUAGGUGGAUCGGUAAGUCUGCAAAGAAAGACCCGGGCUCAACUCGGGGAACGGUGUGGAUACUACCGAUCUUGAGGCAAUCAGAGGAUGAUGGAAUUCCCGGUGUAGCGGUGAAAUGCAUAGAUAUCGGGAGGAACACCAGUGGCGAAGGCGAUCAUCUGGGGUUGUUCUGACACUGAGGAGCGAAAGCUAGGGGAGCAAACGGG